AUUGAACGCUGGCGGCAUGCCUUACACAUGCAAGUCGAACGGUAACAGGUCUUCGGACGCUGACGAGUGGCGAACGGGUGAGUAAUACAUCGGAACGUGCCCAGUCGUGGGGGAUAACUACUCGAAAGAGUAGCUAAUACCGCAUACGAUCUGAGGAUGAAAGCGGGGGACCUUCGGGCCUCGCGCGAGUGGAGCGGCCGAUGGCAGAUUAGGUAGUUGGUGGGAUAAAAGCUUACCAAGCCGACGAUCUGUAGCUGGUCUGAGAGGACGACCAGCCACACUGGGACUGAGACACGGCCCAGACUCCUACGGGAGGCAGCAGUGGGGAAUUUUGGACAAUGGGCGAAAGCCUGAUCCAGCAAUGCCGCGUGCAGGAUGAAGGCCUUCGGGUUGUAAACUGCUUUUGUACGGAACGAAAAAGCUUCUCCUAAUACGAGAGGCCCAUGACGGUACCGUAAGAAUAAGCACCGGCUGACUACGUGCCAGCAGCCGCCGUAAGAC
rnacentral:rRNA from 1 species